GUUUGGGGAAAAGAGCGGUGGGCUGGGUGGGAAGAGGCUUCCUGUGCCUGAGACUUUAAAGUUGGCUCAGUCGUCCGAUUCUGGAAGGCAUUCACCCUCAGAGACCUGCAUGGACAUGUGGCACCGGACCACCUUUUGCAACGUCAACCAGAAGAAUAUUGACAGGAUAUAAUCCAUCUAUCUUUUCAUGUUUUAUUUGUAUUCAUGUUUCUGGUGUAUUUUCUUCUAUUCGAUUUUACAACAUUGGUGGUAGUUUGCAUAUCCACCACCACAGUCAGGAUAUUGAACCUUCAUUCACCGCAAGGAUCCCUCUCUUCGGCUUUUAUAACCACACUCACAUCCCUUUCCCACCUUCCAGUCCCUAAACCCUGGUAACCACUGGUCUGUCUUUUCUAAAAUGUUGUCAUUUCAAAAAUGUUAUAUAAAUACACAGUAUCUAACUUUGGGGACUGACUUUUUUACCCAGAAUAAUUCUUUGGAAAUUCAUCCAAGUUGUUUUGUGUAUCAAUACUCUGUUCCUUUUUAUUCUGAGUAGCUUUCUACGGUAUGGAUAUGCCGGUUUAACCAUUCACCCACUGAAAGACUUCUAGGCUGUUUCCAGUGUGGGGACAUUACACAUAAAGCUGAUACAAACAUUCA